AGCGAACGCUGGCGGCAGGCCUAACACAUGCAAGUCGAACGGCAGCACAGGAGAGCUUGCUCUCUGGGUGGCGAGUGGCGGACGGGUGAGGAAUACAUCGGAAUCUACUCUGUCGUGGGGGAUAACGUAGGGAAACUUACGCUAAUACCGCAUACGACCUACGGGUGAAAGCAGGGGACCUUCGGGCCUUGCGCGAUUGAAUGAGCCGAUGUCGGAUUAGCUAGUUGGCGGGGUAAAGGCCCACCAAGGCGACGAUCCGUAGCUGGUCUGAGAGGAUGAUCAGCAACACUGGAACUGAGACACGGUCCAGACUCCUACGGGAGGAAGCAGUGGGGAAUAUUGGACAAUGGGCGCAAGCCUGAUCCAGCCAUACCGCGUGGGUGAAGAAGGCCUUCGGGUUGUAAAGCCCUUUUGUUGGGAAAGAAAUCCAGCUGGCUAAUACCCGGUUGGGAUGACGGUACCCAAAGAAUAAGCACCGGCUAACUUCGUGCCAGCCGCCGCCGUAA
rnacentral:rRNA from 1 species